AGCCUCUUCGCAUUCUUAACAUCAACAAAUGUGCCCUGAGCUCAAAGUAAGUCAGAUUUGCAGACCAUACAAAGAUGAAGGUCUCGACGGUGGCGGUGCUCGUUAUGGUGGCGAUGCUGAUGAUGUCGGUGGCUGUUUAUUCUGACGAUGCAAGUUCUCAUGGAGUUACUGAAAAACAAGUUGCAGCUGCUGCAAACGCUCAUGGAAGUAAUGGAGGAAGCGUCGUCACAGAGGCAGCUAGUACUGAUUCAACAGCUGGUGCCUCUGGUACUUCAUCAGCUGGUGCCUCCGGUACUAAUAUUGAUUCAAACUAUUACGUGACUAUGAAAGGGUACAUGGAGUACAUGAGGAAGUAUGGCGGUAAACAACCCUGAGUUCGUGUUUCUUCUGGGGCCUGCAUAUAUAUGUGUGUGCUUUCUAUGUGUGUAAACCUUGGUACCUAAAUGUGCAAACAAAAUGCGCAUAGAUGUAUGCAUUUCAGUAUGGGGAUGCGUUGAAGAGUGAGGUACCAAGUUUUACUGGUUGAAAUCGUAAAACAACCUAAGUAUUUCUCACAUCUAAAUAAUCUCCAGCAGCCAACUGUCAUCAUGUAAUAAUGCAGUGUAAUGGUAUUCUAUGUUGUUGAAUUAAUAUUAUGCUUAUUAUGUCA